AGAGUUUGAUCAUGGCUCAGAACGAACGCUGGCGGCAUGCCUCAUACAUGCAAGUCGAACGAAGGCUUCGGCCUGAGUGGCGCACGGGUGAGUAGCGCGUGGGAACCUACCCUUUCGUGGGGGAUAACCGAGGGAAACUUCGGCUAAUACCGCAUACGCCGGGUAACCGGGAAAGAUUUAUCGCGGAAGGAUGGGCCCGCGUCGGAUUAGCUAGUUGGUGGGGUAACGGCCUACCAAGGCAAUGAUCCGUAGCUGGUCUGAGAGGAUGAUCAGCCACACUGGGACUGAGACACGGCCCAGACUCCUACGGGAGGCAGCAGUAGGGAAUAUUGGACAAUGGGCGAAAGCCUGAUCCAGCAAUGCCGCGUGAGUGAGGAAGGCCUUAGGGUUGUAAAGCUCUUUCGGCGGGGACGAUGAUGACGGUACCCGCAGAAGAAGCCCCGGCUAACUUCGUGCCAGCAGCCGCGGUAAUACGAAGGGGGCGAGCGUUGUUCGGAAUUACUGGGCGUAAAGGGCGCGUAGGCGGCCAUCUUUGUCGGGCGUGAAAGCCCCGGGCUUAACCCGGGAACUGCGCUUGGGACGGGAUGGCUAGAGUUCGGGAGAGGAGAGUGGAAUUCCCAGUGUAGAGGUGAAAUUCGUAGAUAUUGGGAAGAACACCGGUGGCGAAGGCGGCUCUCUGGACCGAUACUGACGCUGAGGCGCGAAAGCGUGGGGAGCAAACAGGAUUAGAUACCCCCGUAGUCC
rnacentral:rRNA from 1 species